AUCCGAAUGACGAGUCUCAAGAUAGGACGAAACGCACUUCAUGGAU
rnacentral:hammerhead_ribozyme from 1 species